AGCGAACGCUGGCGGCAGGCUUAACACAUGCAAGUCGAGCGGGCACUUCGGUGUCAGCGGCCGACGGGUGAGUAACACGUGGGAACGUACCCUUUGGUUCGGAAUAACGCUGGGAAGCUAGCGCUAAUACCGGAUACGCCCUUUUGGGGAAAGGCUUGCUGCCGAAGGAUCGGCCCGCGUCUGAUUAGCUAGUUGGUGGGGUAAUGGCCUACCAAGGCGACGAUCAGUAGCUGGUCUGAGAGGAUGAUCAGCCACACUGGGACUGAGACACGGCCCAGACUCCUACGGGAGGCAGCAGUGGGGAAUAUUGGACAAUGGGCGCAAGCCUGAUCCAGCCAUGCCGCGUGAGUGAUGAAGGCCUUAGGGUUGUAAAGCUCUUUUGUCCGGGACGAUAAUGACGGUACCAGAAGAAUAAGCCCCGGCUAACUUCGUG
rnacentral:rRNA from 1 species